CUGGUGGGACUGCGUUUUCCUGAACACUGGUGACGUCACCGGAUAUCUGGCGCAGCUGGGAGAGAUUCGUGUGUGUGGAUUGAGGAAUCCAGCCAUUAUCGGGUUAAAAUCAUCCCACUUCCUCAGUUAGAGUUUCUUGGCACACCGUGACCUGGUUGAACCGGAAAUGAGGAUCUGAGAUCCAUUGUAGUGGGCUGUCUUACCAGAGUGUCUUCGUACCAGGCUGUCUUCUUACCAGGGUGUCUUUGUA